CUUCAAUCGUGUUAAACCGUAAUUCUUUCUCGCACCGUCGUCCUCUUCUAUCACCUUCUUUGCGUCUCUCCAUUUUCUGCCCUAAUUUUGAAAUUGCUGGAGAUAUGGUUAAGGCUUUGCACGUUGAUGUGAUGCAUGAUGGGAGACUUGAGACGAGAGCGUGGGCGUUGAAAUCAAAUUGCUGGCUUCCAAAUCAAGGGCUGCCAUGUUUUGUCUCUAGACUCUUUUGUGGAUAGAUUUGAGACGAUUUAGAGUUUCAAGCUUGUAGACCUAAGAUCAAGUUGUGUUGUAAAUGUUUGAAAUUUCAAUUCUAAUGAACAUAAAUUGAUUGAUUGAAAUUUCAGUUUGAGACCAUGAACUGAUUGAUCGAAGAAUUUGAACUUUUAAAUA